GGUUUCCUGGCCCAAUGGUAAGGCGUCUGACUACGAUUCUAGUGAAUUGUAUCAGGAGUUUGUCGGUUCGAGUCCGGCGGAGAUCA